rnacentral:rRNA from 1 species
CCCUGGUAGUCCACGCCGUAAACGAUGUCGACUUGCAGGUUGUGCCCUUGAGGCGUGGCUUCCGGAGCUAACGCGUUAAGUCGACCGCCUGGGGAGUACGGCCGCAAGGUUAAAACUCAAAUGAAUUGACGGGGGCCCGCACAAGCGGUGGAGCAUGUGGUUUAAUUCGAUGCAACGCGAAGAACCUUACCUGGUCUUGACAUCCAGAGAAUCCUGCAGAGAUGCGGGAGUGCCUUCGGGAACUCUGAGACAGGUGCUGCAUGGCUGUCGUCAGCUCGUGUUGUGAAAUGUUGGGUUAAGUCCCGCAACGAGCGCAACCCUUAUCCUUUGUUGCCAGCGGUCCGGCCGGGAACUCAAAGGAGACUGCCGGUGAUAAACCGGAGGAAGGUGGGGAUGACGUCAAGUCAUCAUGGCCCUUACGACCAGGGCUACACACGUGCUACAAUGG